rnacentral:rRNA from 1 species
AGCGUACACGGUGGAUGCCCUGGCAGUCAGAGGCGAUGAAGGACGUGCUAAUCUGCGAAAAGCGUCGGUAAGGUGAUAUGAACCGUUAUAACCGGCGAUGUCCGAAUGGGGAAACCCAGUGCAAUUCGUUGCACUAUCGUUAACUGAAUACAUAGGUUAACGAGGCGAACCGGGGGAACUGAAACAUCUAAGUACCCCGAGGAAAAGAAAUCAACCGAGAUUCCCCCAGUAGCGGCGAGCGAACGGGGAGCAGCCCAGAGUCUGAAUCAGCUUGUGUGUUAGUGGAACGGUCUGGAAAGUCCGACGGUACAGGGUGAUAGUCCCGUACACCAAAAUGCACAGGCUGUGAACUCGAAGAGUAGGGCGGGACACGUGGUAUCCUGUCUGAAUAUGGGGGGACCAUCCUCCAAGGCUAAAUACUCCUGACUGACCGAUAGUGAACCAGUACCGUGAGGGAAAGGCGAAAAGAACCCCGGCGAGGGGAGUGAAAAAGAACCUGAAACCGUGUACGUACAAGCAGUGGGAGCACCUUCGGGUGUGACUGCGUACCUUUUGUAUAAUGGGUCAGCGACUUAUAUUCUGUAGCAAGGUUAACCGUAUAGGGGAGCCGCAGGGAAACCGAGUCUUAACUGGGCGUUAAGUUGCAGGGUAUAGACCCGAAACCCGGUGAUCUAGCCAUGGGCAGGUUGAAGGUUGGGUAACACUAACUGGAGGACCGAACCGACUAAUGUUGAAAAAUUAGCGGAUGACUUGUGGCUGGGGGUGAAAGGCCAAUCAAACCGGGAGAUAGCUGGUUCUCCCCGAAAGCUAUUUAGGUAGCGCCUCGUGAAUUCAUCUUCGGGGGUAGAGCACUGUUUCGGCUAGGGGGUCAUCCCGACUUACCAACCCGAUGCAAACUACGAAUACCGAAGAAUGUUAUCACGGGAGACACACGGCGGGUGCUAACGUCCGUCGUGAAGAGGGAAACAACCCAGACCGCCAGCUAAGGUCCCAAAGUCAUGGUUAAGUGGGAAACGAUGUGGGAAGGCACAGACAGCCAGGAUGUUGGCUUAGAAGCAGCCAUCAUUUAAAGAAAGCGUAAUAGCUCACUGGUCGAGUCGGCCUGCGCGGAAGAUGUAACGGGGCUAAACCAUGCACCGAAGCUGCGGCAGCGACACUAUGUGUUGUUGGGUAGGGGAGCGUUCUGUAAGCCUGCGAAGGUGUGCUGUGAGGCAUGCUGGAGGUAUCAGAAGUGCGAAUGCUGACAUAAGUAACGAUAAAGCGGGUGAAAAGCCCGCUCGCCGGAAGACCAAGGGUUCCUGUCCAACGUUAAUCGGGGCAGGGUGAGUCGACCCCUAAGGCGAGGCCGAAAGGCGUAGUCGAUGGGAAACAGGUUAAUAUUCCUGUACUUGGUGUUACUGCGAAGGGGGGACGGAGAAGGCUAUGUUAGCCGGGCGACGGUUGUCCCGGUUUAAGCAUGUAGGCUGGUUGUCCAGGCAAAUCCGGAUAAUCAAGGCUGAGGUGUGAUGACGAGGCACUACGGUGCUGAAGUAACAAAUGCCCUGCUUCCAGGAAAAGCCUCUAAGCAUCAGGUAACAUCAAAUCGUACCCCAAACCGACACAGGUGGUCAGGUAGAGAAUACCAAGGCGCUUGAGAGAACUCGGGUGAAGGAACUAGGCAAAAUGGUGCCGUAACUUCGGGAGAAGGCACGCUGGUGUGUAGGUGAAGUCCCUGCGGAUGGAGCUGAGACCAGUCGAAGAUACCAGCUGGCUGCAACUGUUUAUUAAAAACACAGCACUGUGCAAACACGAAAGUGGACGUAUACGGUGUGACGCCUGCCCGGUGCCGGAAGGUUAAUUGAUGGGGUUAUCCGUAAGGAGAAGCUCUUGAUCGAAGCCCCGGUAAACGGCGGCCGUAACUAUAACGGUCCUAAGGUAGCGAAAUUCCUUGUCGGGUAAGUUCCGACCUGCACGAAUGGCGUAAUGAUGGCCAGGCUGUCUCCACCCGAGACUCAGUGAAAUUGAACUCGCUGUGAAGAUGCAGUGUACCCGCGGCAAGACGGAAAGACCCCGUGAACCUUUACUAUAGCUUGACACUGAACAUUGAGCCUUGAUGUGUAGGAUAGGUGGGAGGCUUUGAAGCGUGGACGCCAGUCUGCGUGGAGCCAACCUUGAAAUACCACCCUUUAAUGUUUGAUGUUCUAACGUUGGCCCCUGACCGGGGUUGCGGACAGUGUCUGGUGGGUAGUUUGACUGGGGCGGUCUCCUCCCAAAGCGUAACGGAGGAGCACGAAGGUUAGCUAAUCCUGGUCGGACAUCAGGAGGUUAGUGCAAUGGCAUAAGCUAGCUUGACUGCGAGCGUGACGGCGCGAGCAGGUGCGAAAGCAGGUCAUAGUGAUCCGGUGGUUCUGAAUGGAAGGGCCAUCGCUCAACGGAUAAAAGGUACUCCGGGGAUAACAGGCUGAUACCGCCCAAGAGUUCAUAUCGACGGCGGUGUUUGGCACCUCGAUGUCGGCUCAUCACAUCCUGGGGCUGAAGUAGGUCCCAAGGGUAUGGCUGUUCGCCAUUUAAAGUGGUACGCGAGCUGGGUUUAGAACGUCGUGAGACAGUUCGGUCCCUAUCUGCCGUGGGCGCUGGAGAAUUGAGGGGGGCUGCUCCUAGUACGAGAGGACCGGAGUGGACGCAUCACUGGUGUUCGGGUUGUCAUGCCAAUGGCACUGCCCGGUAGCUAAAUGCGGAAGAGAUAAGUGCUGAAAGCAUCUAAGCACGAAACUUGCCCCGAGAUGAGUUCU